AGAGUUUGAUCCUGGCUCAGGAUGAACGCUGGCGGCGUGCUUAACACAUGCAAGUCGAACGAAGCAAUUUUCUACGAUCCCUUCGGGGUGACGGAUUAUUGACUGAGUGGCGGACGGGUGAGUACGCGUGGGUAACCUACUUUGUACAGGGAGACAACAGUUGGAAACGACUGCUAAUACCGCAUAAGCGCACAGCAUCGCAUGAUGCAGUGUGAAAAGUUUUUCGGUACAAGAUGGACCCGCGUCUGAUUAGCUAGUUGGUGAGGUAACGGCCCACCAAGGCGACGAUCAGUAGCCGACCUGAGAGGGUGACCGGCCACAUUGGGACUGAGACACGGCCCAAACUCCUACGGGAGGCAGCAGUGGGGAAUAUUGCACAACGGGCGAAAGCCUGAUGCAGCGACGCCGGUGAGCGAAGAAGUAUUCCGGUAUGUAAAGCUCUAUCAGCAGGGAAGAUAAUGACGGUACCUGACUAUGAAGCACCGGCUAAAUACGUGCCAGCAGCCCCGGUAAUACGUAUGGUGCAAGCGUUAUCCGGAUUUACUGGGUGUAAAGGGAGCGUAGGCGGUAUUACAAGUCUGAUGUGAAAGCCCGGCGCUCAACUCCGGUAUUGCAUUGGAAACUGUAGAACUAGAGUGUCGGAGGUGUAAGUGGAAUUCCUAGUGUAGCGGUGAAAUGCGUAGAUAGUAGGAGGAACACCAGUGGCGAAGGCGGCUUACUGGACGAUUACUGACGCUGAGGCUCGAAAGCGUGGGGAGCAAACAGAAUUAGAUACCCUGGUAGUCCACGCCGUAAACGAUGAAUACUAGGUGUUGGCUUCCAUAGGGAGUCGGUGCCGCAGCUAACGCAAUAAGUAUUCCACCUGGGGAGUACGUUCGCAAGAAUGAAACUCAAAGGAAUUGACGGGGACCCGCACAAGCGGUGGAGCAUGUGGUUAAUUCGAAGCAACGCGAAGAACCUUACCAAAUCUUGACAUCCUCUUGACAAAGUAUGUAAUGUACUCUUCCUUCGGGACAAGAGUGACAGGUGGUGCAUGGUUGUGUCAGCUCGGUCGUGAGAUGUUGGGUUAAGUCCCGCAACGAGCGCAACCGUUAUCUUUAGUAGCCAGCAUUUCGGAUGGGCACUCUAGAGAGACUGCCCGGGUGAACCGGGAGGAAGGUGGGGAUGACGUCAAAUCAUCAUGCCCCUAUGAUUUGGGCUACACACGGCUACAAUGGCGUAAACAAAGGGAAGCAAGUAGGUGACUAUGAGCAAAUCUCAAACAUAACGUCUCAGUUCGGAUUGUAGUCUGCAACUCGACUACAUGAAGCUGGAAUCGCUAGUAAUCGCGAAUCAGAAUGUCGCGGUGAAUACGUUCCCGGGUCUUGUACACGCCGCCCGUCACACCAUGGGGUUGGGAAUGCCCGAAGUCUGUGACCCAACCGUAAGGGCGGAGCAGCCGAAGGCAGGCUCGAUAACUGGGGUGAAGUCGUAACAAGGUAGCC
rnacentral:rRNA from 1 species